rnacentral:misc_RNA from 1 species
CCGGAGCAUAAGACGACACCACGUGACCGACUACGAAUAAUAGCAACGAAGUUGUUUACAUUUGUUACAGGUGUUCAUGGUCACAUCCAGUCCAAUAGAGAUGGAAAAGUUACUCCUACUUCUCCUCCUUGCUGUUAGUCACAUCAGCCUAGUAUCCUGUGCCUGUGAUGCAGUUACUGAUGCAGCAACCUACACAAGUGAAAGAGCAGCAAAUGCUGUAGAGAUGAAGUUUUACAGAGCCCAAACAACUGAGUGGAUUAGUGACAGUGUUACAAACAAGGUGGCAGCACAAGUCAUCAGUAAAGCUAACUCUUACUGUGCAAGCAACACGGGCACUUGUGGACUACAGUCCUGCUGUACUUCUGCGUUUAAGGAGACUAUGGUUGUGGUUUCUAGUGGCUAUCCACAAGAUGACCUGAAAGAUUUGCUUCUGAAAAUUUCCCUGGAUUUUCCAUCUGAUCUGAACUCAACUGGAACCCCUCAGUGUGUGAUGGGAAAGUCUGCAUUACAAACAAUAAUCAGAGAAGCAAGGGAGGCAAUUCAUGAUGAUACUGGAUUUUGGAUCACUUAUAUUGACGAUGAAUUCACAAGUCUUCCCCCACCUACAGAGUUGAACAAGAUCAUUAUCCCGAUAGCCUGUGCUGUGAUUCUCGGACUGGCAAUCCUUACGAUCAUUUUGAAUGUUUGGAACAAAAAGAAAGAAGAGUCACUGAGACGUAAAAAGAUCAUCGAGCAGAGAAAGAAGUCUAAGAAGGAUGCGCCCAUGUACAAUGUUGACACCCGUGAUCCUAAAGCUCCCAGCGGCCUCACUGGAAAAAUCGAUAAGAAACAGAAACCAAAAAGUUUGAUGAUGAGUUAUAAUAAUGUAAGUGACAGUGAACGAGAGACCUCUGCAGCUAGCCGGAAGGACCAGUUGUACAGAGAUAAUCUCAAAAAGAGUACGAAGUCAGCUAAGAAGACAGCCAGCAUUGCCAGUGAGGACUCGGCAAUCAAAGUUGACACGACAGAUUCUCGUCAACGACAGGCUUUCUCCUACGAGAAGGAGUUGGAUGGUGCUAGUGGUUAUGAUCGGAAUGACAGGAAAGGUUAUGGUGGAUUUUCAGAGCCAGAAGCACCACCUUCUAGUCACCUGAAGCCGAUUGAUUCUGGGGCAGAUGAUGAGUCAAGGUCGCCUGAGAAGAAGAAAAAGAAGAAGAAGAAGAGAUUAAGUGCUGAGCAAAAAGAAAAACUGAAAGAGAAAAUGAAGAUAGCCGCAUGGUUGAAGAAUCUAAAUCAAAAGAAGUAAUGGAUGGCGUACCAAAUGACGGAUAUACAAACACAGGUUCUGACAGACAGUGACAAGAUAUAAAUAGAUGAUAACAAUGCUUAUGAGUGAUGAAAGAGCAGUGUGGAUAUGACAGUAUUUCAUGGUUACAUUCCAAAGACAACAGAUCUUCUCAUAUAUACUACGAUAUUGAAUGAAAAUUUAAUGAUCAAAUAUAAGUUGAUAAUACUCUUGGUAAAAAUCGGGUUGAAAUCAAAACUUUCUUAGAAAAUAAAUCUUUCAGAUGCUUGCCCCAAUUUUUAUAAAAGCAACUUUGUUGAGAUUGUGCUCAACUUAUAUUGUUUUGAAUAUUUCAAGAACUGAAAGCUUGUCAAAUUAAGUUUUUUUUGUUGUUGUUUUUUGUUUUCGAAAAACAAAUGUAUAGAUCAUAUGUUUUGUUUAGUUGUUUAAAAAUAUAUGAACCAAAAUUAUCAGUGUGUCAAAUGCAUUAAUUUAAAAGUAAAUUUAGUCAAGCAAUAUCGUUCUUAUAUUUUCUUUUUUGUGUAGAAAAUACAAGACACCAGACUUGUGCUUUUUUAGGAAAUAAAGUUUCAAGCUUGAUUAGCUUGAUGCAAAUU